rnacentral:rRNA from 1 species
AUUGAACGCUGGCGGCAGGCCUAACACAUGCAAGUCGGACGGUAGCGCAGAGGAGCUUGCUCCUCGGGUGACGAGUGGCGGACGGGUGAGUAAUGUCUGGGGAUCUGCCCGAUAGAGGGGGAUAACCACCGGAAACGGUGGCUAAUACCGCAUAACGUCGCAAGACCAAAGAGGGGGACCUUCGGGCCUCUCACUAUCGGAUGAACCCAGAUGGGAUUAGCUAGUAGGCGGGGUGACGGCCCACCUAGGCGACGAUCCCUAGCUGGUCUGAGAGGAUGACCAGCCACACUGGAACUGAGACACGGUCCAGACUCCUACGGGAGGCAGCAGUGGGGAAUAUUGCACAAUGGGCGCAAGCCUGAUGCAGCCAUGCCGCGUGUAUGAAGAAGGCCUUCGGGUUGUAAAGUACUUUCAGCGGGGAGGAAGGCGAUGUGGUUAAUAACCGCGUCGAUUGACGUUACCCGCAGAAGAAGCACCGGCUAACUCCGUGCCAGCAGCCGCGGUAA